rnacentral:lncRNA from 1 species
GCUGGAGGAGUUGGCGCCGCGGUCGGCAACCCCGCUGACGUGGCAAUGGUCCGCAUGCAGGCUGACGGGCGCCUCCCGAUCCACCAGCGCCGCAACUACAAGAGCGUGAUCGACGCAAUUCGGGAAAUGUCGAAACACGAGGGGAUCACUAGCCUGUGGCGCGGCUCAUCUCUUACGGUGAACCGCGCCAUGAUCGUGACGGCAUCACAGCUGGCGUCUUACGAUCAGAUGAAGGAGGUGAUAUUGGAG